UUACGACCAUAUCACGUUGAAAAACCGGUUCUCGCAAGAUCACCGAAGUUAAGCAACAUCGAGCCUGGUCAGUGCCUAUAAGGGUGACCGCUUGGGAAUACCAGGUGCUGGA